CCCGGUUUCAAGUGAAUUCUCCAGCCUCAACUUCACAAGUAGCUGGGAUUACAGGGCAUUCAAGCAGCCCUGAGGAGAGGUCCACAUGGUGAGCCACUGAGGGCCUUGCCAAGAGCCAGCACCAACGGUCCAGGUUUGGAGUGUACCACCUUGGAAGUGAAUCUUCCAGUCCAGUCAAGCCUUCAGAUGACUUCAGAACCGUCCAUGUAAGCCACUCUUGGAUUCCUGACCCACAGAAACUGUUGGAGUAAGUGAUGUUUCUGAAGCACCAAUGAAAAUGAAGUCCUGAAGUCCUGUGCUCAAUAUGAAAUGUUGGAAGUUAGAAGAAAAAAACAAAACUUGGAUCCAAUCUCAAGGCACUUUUUGUUUAAUGGGAAGAAGUGGAUUAUUUUAAAA
rnacentral:lncRNA from 10 species